GGCCUAUUAGGUCAGUUGGUUAGAGCGUCAUGCUAAUAACGCGGAGAUCUAGGGUACGAUCCCCUCAUGGGCCA
rfam:Danaus plexippus plexippus isolate F-2 unplaced genomic scaffold DPSCF300131, whole genome shotgun sequence.